rnacentral:tRNA from 4 species
GCCGCUUUAGCUCAGUCGGUAGAGCAUCUCACUCGUAAUGAGAAGGUCGCGAGUUCGAUUCUCGCAAGCGGCU